rnacentral:rRNA from 1 species
ACGCUCGACACCUACUGGAGGCAGCAGUAGGGAAUCUUCCACAAUGGGCGCAAGCCUGAUGGAGCAACACCGCGUGAGUGAAGAAGGGUUUCGGCUCGUAAAGCUCUGUUGUUGGAGAAGAACGUGCGUGAGAGUAACUGUUCACGCAGUGACGGUAUCCAACCAGAAAGUCACGGCUAACUACGUACACGCAGCCGCGGUAAUCUGAGCGGGCUGGCAAGGC